rnacentral:lncRNA from 1 species
AAAAAAUUGAUGCUUCUGUGCAAAAAUUAAAGAAACACUGAGCUGCUAAUGCAUUUACCCUGCAAAUAUGUCUCAUCGGGUAGAACGUCAAGAGUUAAUACAACUGCCUGCCCAUUCACUGAAUAAUGUACACAUUCUUGUCAUGCUUUAAAUGCUGAAAUGUUGUCCGUGUCAUUUUUAUUUUUGUUUAAAAAUCUAUAGCUUUAAUUUACUUCCUUGGUACCAACUGUAUGGGGGCUUUUUAGCUUUUAGGCUUGCAGCCCGUAAGGUAAGCACAAGAUUUAGAGAAGCAACCAGCAGAGAAAUGAGAUGCCAAGGGCUCGCGUUGAAACUCCUCUUAGUCAGUCCUGUCUAUGGAAAUCCACAAAACUGGGGUAUUUGAUUAAAGUUUGCAAACAGUUUGCAUUCCUGAUGAGACAUCCAUAGUACGUAGCGACGUCCUUUCCAAAAAUUCCACGUUCCUGCUUUUGGGUGUAUGGCGGGGAGCAUAUUUUUUAUGUUAGCACUUCAGAACAUAUGAGAUGCCCCUAGAGGUGCUCCCUUUAGGUGGGCACCCAUCUGUCAGCAGUCACAAGGGUUCCCCCGACCACAAAUAACACAGGCUUUGGGCUGGCUCUGGUGAGCCUUGGUCAGAUACAAUCUCUCUCACUGUUGGGACACGAGCUUGUCUUUUAACCAAGAAGGUAAUUUUUACCAUCUGAUGACUAUUUCAUGGCCUCUGUGAAUGAGUUUGCAGACCCCGGCCUGAUUUUAUGUAGACAACUGUCUCUCUUCACAAAAACAACUGUCACAAUUGGCAACGGUUGUGACACGUGCUGCCAGCAGCAAGGGCUCAGGAUGAAUGGACUGGAGGCAGGAGAGUGUUCUCCUCACUGUGAGGAGGGAGACUGCUAUUCAAACAUUCAUUCCGGGAUGAAAAGCUCCCUCCUUGUAGUCAUCAACCACGGAGUGCCAAUUCACCAUAGAUGCUACAUUGCUUCUAAAUCUUAAUCCGGACCCCACCAUUGCUUUGGCACGGUACGCAGCACAAGGAACCUGCACACAUGCUCCCAUGCUCCCCCAAAAAAACAGAAACACCUACUCCAGAAAUCAAAAACCUGAUCUGAAGGUACAUCCUGUAUAAUCAGCUAGAGCUAUGCUUUCCUCCACAUCAGU